CAGGAGAAACUCAGAAAUACGCAGGGGCGACAAACAGACUUUCUACACGCAGCAUGGCUCGCGUAACACAUCGUUCAAUAUUUAUUAAGGCAUUUCCUUAAACAAAUUAUCAAUGCACCAAUUUUGAUUAUUUCAUGAAAAAGCAAUAGCUUCGAUUUGCUCUAAAAAGAAUUGAACCCUAAUAGAAUUUUUUUUUAAACAAAAAUAUUAAAUCUAGAAGAAAAUGUUAAAUAUUUUAGAAAUGGGCAGAAACUUGGAAAUCCGUUAAACCUAAAGAUUUUUGACGCAAAUAUGGAUUGGAAUUUUGGUUCCUUGUCACUCAACUCUGCGUAUCAGAUCAUCGAGAAAUCAAGGUUUCCCGGAACCUUCAUCUUGACGUCGGAUGACAAAAACCGGUUUAUCACGCUUCUUCUGACAACUGAUCCGGCACCGGAAGUGGUUCUAAUCGGGAUUUUCCAGGAAAAUAAUCAGUUUUCUUUGUUCCUGGGCUACGAUAGAGAAAAAAAACAGUUUAGUUCGUUGACUGCAUUGGUGAAUUAUUUUCAUUUUUGGCCAAUCUCUGGAAAUUGUUUACUCAGUUUUGGCCAGUGUAAUUCAAACAUCAUCAUUUUGUUCAGGAAAACAGUUGAGUUUAAAGCCAGGGUUGAGGAUAGAAUGGUCUUUAGUGUUGAGGCUAGAGAAGAGUUUAAAAUCUCAACGGUUCUCCAAAAUAUUGAAAUACUUAACGAACCCCCUGAACCGUUGACUACAGUGUUUCCGUUAAGCAAGUAUUCUCCACAAAUGGUAAAAAAUCAGGAGAGUUUUGAACCCCUGGAUAAUGUGAACGAACUACUGAAAGUUGAACUGAAAGAAGAGAUAGAUAAACUACUUCUAGGUUUCAUAGAUCCAGUAGAUGCAGAGGGGAGGAGUGAUAUUGAAUCAGCGGAGGAAGUAACCCAACUUCUGGAAAACUAUGCUAAAAUGAACUCAAAGAUAGCUGAAAAGGAGACAGUAUUCUCGCUUUAUGAACUGAUCUAUCUACACCCACAGGAUGAACAGUCUCAAACGAAGAAUCGAAAACAUUUUCAAGUUAAUUUGAUGACUCGAGAAGAUUUUCAGGAAUUUAGCCAAAAAGAAAAUUCAAUAAAAAUAGCUAAGCUCCAUAACUCAGCACUAUGUAAAGUACAUAAAAAUGUUUCAAAUUCACAGUUUUCCAGUUUUAGUCCACUUAAGGCCUGGAGGUUGGGAGUACAGAUGGUUAACAUGAACCUCAGACCAACUAGAUACCCAGAGAAUAUGGAACUACACAGGGCAAUGUUUAAAAGGAACGGGAACUGUGGAUAUGUUCCUAAAUCUGGGAACCUUCUUACGAAACUGGUAUCAAACUCAGUUCUGUUGAAAUGUACAAUCCUAGAGGGAAGCAAACUUUGGGGCCAAAAACAAUGGAAGGAUACAGUUCAUACAGUUAGUGUCUGUGCCUGGGUAGUUGCAGAAUCAGGAAGAGAAGGAAAAACAACGCCAGUGAUCGCUACCAGAGGAAAUGGAUUAAGGAUUUUUCGUACUAGAGGUUUCACAUAGCAGUGGGCAUAGUAAUAUGAAGGUUAUUGGGAAGUUUGUAGCUCCUGUUGUGUCUCUAAGAUCUGGUAUCAGAAGUGUAAACCUAGAAAAUCCAAGCUUCCAGCAUGAAAUACCCUUUGCCAGUAUCCUGGUGCACCUGGAGAUGCUC
rnacentral:misc_RNA from 1 species